GACGAACGCUGGCGGCGUGCCUAAUACAUGCAAGUAGAACGCAGUUGCGAACGGGUGAGUAACGCGUAGGUAACUGCCUCAUAGAGGGGGAUAACUAUGGGAAACGAUAGCUAAUACCGCAUACUGUGAGAUGGACCUGCGUUGGAUUUGCCAGGUGGUGAGGUAAAGGCUUACCAAGGCGACGGUACAUAGCCGGCCUGAGAGGGUGAACGGGCACACUUGGACUUAGACACGGGCCAGACUCCUACGGGAGGCAGCAGGUGGGGAUCUUCGGGAAUUGACGGAAGUCUGGCCGGGCAACGCCGGGGGGGGGAAGAAGGUUUUCGGGUCCUAAAGCUCUGUUGAUUGGGGAACGGUAACUAACCAGAAAGCGACGGCUAACUACGUGCCAGCAGCCGCGGUAAUAC
rnacentral:rRNA from 1 species